rnacentral:rRNA from 1 species
UAGGGAAUCUUCCGCAAUGGACGAAAGUCUGACGGAGCAACGCCGCGUGAGUGAUGAAGGUUUUCGGAUCGUAAAACUCUGUUGUCAGGGAAGAACAAGUGCCGGAGUAACUGCCGGCACCUUGACGGUACCUGACCAGAAAGCCACGGCUAACUACGUG